UUGAAGAUCUACCAAUGCAAGUGUAAGAACUUUAGUAUCUACUAGUGGGAAUGUAAACAAGAUUUAGAGUUGAAGGUCUAUUGCCAUAGGUAUAAACGAGAUUUAAAGAGGUUUAAGGUCUACAAAUGCAAGUGUAAAUGGGCUUUAAGGAAUUUUUGGAUGUACAAGUAUGAAUGUGAAUCAAGCUUAGGGUCCAAAGUAUAUGACUAAAGUUUGGAAAUUACAAGUGUGACUAAGGGUUUAAGAUUUAAGAUCUAUAAGUACAAGUGUAAACGGACUUAAAGGAUUUAAGGCCCAAAAAUAAAAUCUAUCAAACACACAUGAAUUUACACCUUGCACUAAUGAUUUGUAAGUGCAAAGCCUAUGAAAUGUAUUAAACAUGGAUAUGCCAAUUUGCAUUAUAUUAUCAAAUAAAGUGGCCAGAUUUAGGAUUUAGGAUUUAAAAUAAAAUGAUUUAAGAUUUAAGAUCUAGAAUUAUAUGUAUAUUCUUUAAAAAAAUCACCUACUUAUUUUGGAAUUUUGAAUUAACCUAUCUUUUUUUUUUAAAGAUUGUGGUUUCAAUGAUGCAAUUUAAUUUUAUUUAUGCUUCUUUCAUUUAAUACAUAUACAUUCUUUGAUUUUUAGAUACUAUUUUUUCUUUUCUUUUCUUUUCUGUUUUUUUUUUAUUUUUAAUAAAGAAUUUUAAUAUUUUGAUGAAAUUUAUUCCCAUACUUUGGAAUGUUGUGAAUCUAAUGGUAUAUUUAGUUUUCCUAAAAAAUAUAUAAUUUAGAUAUUAUAGAGGUUUUAAAAGUGAACUUAAGGAUCAAUAAAUUCUUAUGUUUUUGGAAUUUUGGAAUUUAGAGGUGACCUAUCCUCCCAUUAUCAAGGAUUUUGAUUCCAAUGGAGUAAAAUCAUUUAUUUAUGCUAUUUCUAUUUAAAAGAUAUAAAGAAUUUGAGUUUUUAGGAUUUAGAGUUGAUUUUAGAAUCUUAAGAUUUAAAAUUUAAGAUCUAUAAUAAUAAAUUUAUAAUUUAACAUUAAUUUAUUAUAUACAAUUACAAACACCUUGAAAAAUCCUUCAUAUUAGAUUCAAAAAUCAAAACAAUCCAACAAGAAUUGCACUCAAAUUCAACAAUCAAAGAUUUGACUUUCUUAAAAUAAAUUUGAAAAAUAUUUAUGCUCAUAUCUAGAGAUUUAUGAAAAAUCCCACAAAUAUACUAAUCACUAUUGAAAUUACUUUAAAAAAUCAAUUGCAUUAGACUCAAAGAUUUUAAAAAUUAAAUCAUAUUUGCAUACAUAAUCAAUAAUCAAAGAAUUGGCUUUCUUUAAAUAAAUUUGCCACACAUUUUUGCUCAUAGCUAGAGAUUUAUUAAAAAAAACCCACAAACGUGCUAUAUACCAUUAGAAUUGCCUUGAAACAUCAAUCAUAUUAGACUCAAAAUUUGCUAAAAUUGAAUCAAAGUUGCUUAUGAAAUCAAUAAUCAAAGUUUUGGCUUUCUUAAAAAAUACUUGUGACACAUUUUUGCUUAGAGAUUAAUACAAUACCCACAAAUAUGCUAUAUACAAUUACAAUCACCUUGAAAAAUUAGUCAUAAUAAACUAGGUUUUAAAAUUUAGGGUUUAGAGUUACAUGUGUGUUUUUAGAUUUAAGUUUUAGGAUUUAGAAUUACAUGUGUAUUUCUAAGUUUAGGAUUUAGGAUUUAGGGUUUAGUAUUUAAGAUGUCUCAUUACAAAAAUGUCAAAAGUUUGAAAUAUACAUAAAGUUCUAAUUAUUAAACUUUAAAUCUUAAAAAAUAUCUAUCAAGUGGAUUGUAUAUAUUCUCUCCAAUUAGUCAUGUAGAGGUCAAUAUAGUGUCGAGCAACGCCCAUAAAAUCUAUGUAAAUUUUGUUCUUUAGCAAAUAUCCACAACCAUUAGUCAGAGUUAGGUUUAAGAUUUAGAGUUAAAUGUGUGUUUUCAAAAAAUUUACAUACUUUUUUUGGAAAUUUUGAAUUUAUCCACCCUCCCUAUUUUUAAAAGUUGUGGUUCCAAUGGUGCAAUUAACUUUACUUAUGCUUUUAUCAUUUGAUAGAUAAAAACACUUUGAUUUUGAGAUGUAGAGUUGACUUCUAUUUUUGAUGAAGAAUUUCAAUAUUUUGAAGAGACUUACUCUCCUAUUUUGAAAUGUUGUGAAUUUAGUGGUGUAUUCAAUUUUUCAAAGAAUAUAUGAUUUGGAUGAUAUGGAGGUUUUAAAAAGAAAUUUUAAAAUUGAUAAAUUCUUAUAUUUUUGGAAUUUUAGAAUUUAGAGGUGACCUAUCCUCCCAUUAUCAAAGGUUGUGAUUCUAAUGGAGUAAAAAAAUUUACUUAUGCUAUUUCUAUUUGAAUGAUAUAAAAAAAAAUUAAAAAUUAAAAACUAAAAAUUGUUCAAAUUGUAUUAGCUUUAUAACUCAAACUGUAAUAUAAACUAUGCAUCUUCCCUUUCCCUCUAGAUUUUGUUAGCAUACUCCAACCUCUCUUUCUAUCUUCUCCAUCAACCCUCUAUUGUACUUUAACCUAUUCCAACUUCCAUUGUACUUUUUCUCUCCAUGCCUCUUUAUUGAUUAAACACUUGAUGGAAUUUUUCUCCCCAUGCUUUUCCUUGUUGAUUGAUUGCAUUGGUUUUUUUCUCCCCAUGCUUUUUUUUUAACCAAAGCAUUUAGAUUUUCUUUUCCAUCUCCUUUCUUACUAAAUGCUUUGGUUUCUUCUUCCAUGUUUUCUUUUUCAUACAUUUAUUUUUACAAAUUUAACCUUGCUCUCACAAAAUAAUUUAUCUACAGAAAGAAAAUUGAGAAUCUAAGUGGAUAUAUGAAAGAAACUUCAAGUUUAGGUGAAAUUUAAACAUUAGCAGGGGAGAAAAUAAUAAUAAUAAUAAUAAUAAAUAUUUACAUAUAUAUAUAUAUAUAUAUAUAUAUAAAACAGAAAAAGAAAAAAGAAAAACAAAAAACAAAACAAAAGAAUUCAAAUCUCAUGUACACAUCACUCUAAUUGCCAAGCCACGAAAAUCCAACUAAUUAAACACUUCACACCAUGGCAUUGGUUUAGAUUCAAAAUCCACCAUACCCAUCUAAGCAACCUAUGGCUACAUGAUUUGGCACUACUAAUGAAACUUGUAGACAAGAAAAAUGACCAAUUGGAACCACCUACUAGCCUCAUGUAUUGAAUGACAAGAUGAUGCAAUAUGUACACCCAAGAUUUGUGAUUAUCACCACACCUCCUCCCCCUCUUCUCUUACUUGACUUUUACCUUUCUCCCUCCCAUAUUCUAUAUUACAAAUCCAUAUUUUGUAAUACACUGUUGAUUUUACUUAGUGUACUGCUAAGCAACUUCCCCUCACUGGACUUCAACAUAACAGUUGACAAUAGAAGUCACAAUCCAAUCUUUUAUUUAAAAGUACAUCCAACGUCCCCUCUGCACAUCAUGUUUUAUCAAUGUAUGUCUUUGAGACCAAAAAAUAGUGCACGCCUACCUGCCUGCUGGCAUCAAUUUCUACAGAUACAUAUAACCCUUCAGCAACAGAUACACAUAACCAGUCAGAAUCUGUCAGCUGGUUCAAAUUGGACCUAGUCGAGCAUGGAUGCAAAUGCAUAAUUCACGAUCUCUCUGUUUCUAGACACGCCGCAAAGUAUCAAGCGCACGAUAGCACUCUCCAAAUGGAGAGUUGACCCUGCUCUGAUGCCAUUAACACGAUACUUCUAGCUGUAACAAGAUAAGUGAACGUUCCUUGGACAAGGGCUUGCCUUGCAUUUAACAAGGCAGAAUAUAAGGAUAUCUUGCAUCAUUUGCUUCUUCCCCCGCUGCUCCACCAUGUGUGAAAAAAAGACGCUUUAAGCGCACGCGCUCUGCCUCCUGUAACUUCUUGUUGCUGGUAAUACACGAGAAGCCAAAAUCCAGGAUGCGGACAGUAGGCUUCUUUCCCCACACAACCAUAAUGUUACUUAAGGAAACAUCUCCAUGAAGCAACCCGCAUGCAUGGACUGCAGCAAGCGCUUCAAGCGCUGCAGUCUCCACCUCCCGGGUCACCGCCACUGAAACAUAAUCACCACAAAAGGCAAAUAAAUGACAACUCUGCCAGCAGAUUGCAGGUGGUCAAAGGUAUUGGCCCUUCAAAAAAACACACUUCAUAGAAUCACCAUGCCCAGGCUACGAGAAACCCUCAAGACCAGAAUACGGAGAGUAGGAUGCUCCGCAUCUGAGAGUUUUGCAAGAAAUCCUACCUUCUCCAAGCUCAACACCGUCAAUCAAUUCAGUUGCGAUAAAUACAACCCGACCGUUAUUUGUGGUUCCAUAUCCUAUUAAUCGAGGAACAAAAACCCCCCAAAGCUUCUCCAUCCUCGUAUAGGCAACCACCUCCUUCAGGAGAGCCUGCACAAGCGCGGCCAAAGAUGGGCUGGGCAGAGUCAGAUCACAAACAGGUAAGUGCCGCAAACUGCACGUGCACUUGAACACCAGCAUGCUCCACGUUGCAUCUACCAAAGACUACCUGUCAGUAAAGAUGUCACAAACAGGACCUCUCCUCCUCAGUCCCCGGAUUAGAUGAAGUAGCAGCCACUGUGAGAUGUGAACGCAACAUUUCCACAUGACACAACUCCGGCUCACCUCCGCACGUUCCGUGCCUAAGUGGGCAAACUUCAAUGCAACAGGUUGGCCACGCAAACGGCCAUUAACAACGCAUCCACUCCACCCCUCACUACUUAUGACACCGCCCGCCUUUUUCAGGUUCAGGUCCUCCGCGGGGACAUCUUCCAAAGCCAGCUGCGCCCCACCCGAGCUAUGUCUUUCAGACCUGCAAAUGCAGUUGCUGUCAUUUCACCAUUUGCUCUCGACUACGUGUCCGACUUCAUGGAACAAACUUGAAUAGCUGGCUGGACAAGUUACCUUCGUUUUCCAGAGGAAGAGAUAUUUUGGCUCACACGUGCUGUAAAGGUUCGAUCAUUGAUGUCGUCAUCACUGCUUUCGUCGGAAUGUUCAGAGGGGGCAGCUUCAUGAACUAAGGGAAAUUGGCCAUUCCCCGUUGGGUCACCAAACUCAGAGUUAUCCACUGCAGCAGCGUGCACCAAAUAUGACAACGCAGCGAGCACACGCGGGGGCUCAGCACUCGCCGUAAUACCAGCUGAUAUUUUGAGGCAGCCGGCAUUAUCCCGUUUGAAGAGAUACCAAUUUCUUGCAUCGGUUAGAACACCGUAACCCACCUUACACCUGCAACUCAGAGCAAAGGGAUAGCAAAAUGAGAACUGCCACGCAUUCCAUGUCGUUUUGCCAAACGUAGAUCGGGAAACCAAGACGGUACGAGAAAAUCCCACUGGCAGGACGAAGGGAGGAUACAAGUAAGAAGAAGAGAACAAGAUCAUCUUAAGUGAGUCAACAUAGAACCAGGAUCAACAGGCAGUAGAAUGCAGCUUGUUAGAAAAAGGGUUUCCUGUUUAUUGGGAUCGGAAAAGGCAAAGGCCAAGCACGUAAACGCUGAGCUCCAAGCGAAUCUAGCCAAGAGGAAAAACUACCGAGAUAAUCAGGGGUUCAAAAGAAGCUUACAGAACCAUGUACUCAUACAACUGACUAAUACAGCGGGUGAUCCUUUCACCUUGAGAUGGCGUGAUGCCAAAAACGGCGAACCCGCACCUGCCCUCUCCUGCGAUUAUUGGAACCUCUGUCAGAAUGCUUGCAACAAUGUAAGAAUUGGAACACACUAUGAAAAUAUGGGAUAGGGCCAGAUAGAACCUGAUGUGCAAGAGCAGUCUGUCCAAAAUCGGUGGAGAAACCAGGGGUCAUCUCCGUCACUUCCCAGACCUUCAUUCUUGACCUCGAAGACCAAAGCAUUCUUCUCCUUUAAAGUGAUUACGAAAUCUGCUCUAGGGCUUCCGGAAUAAACGUCAACCAUGGCACUUGAACUCGCACCCUCACUCGAUCCUAUCCCGUCAUUUCCGCCUUUUCUCUUGCUGAAGAUUAUGUAUUCUCGCUUGAAGAAAAAGUUAGACUGCGGCUCCUUCUUCUGCAUAAAAGGUACCAUUUCCCCCAGGAUAAAAUCGAUAUGUGGAAUCUCAUUCUUCUCUAUCAGCCUAGUGUCCUGAGUGACAGCGGUGACAGCCAUUCGAAACACACGCCUCCUUCUAUCUGCGCUUUCUAGAAAUUCUUCGAUCUCGUUCAUUACAUCCCAAUGCUCUACUCUGACAGGUAACCACAUCCGUGCAUGGCUCGAGCUGCUUGGGUAAACGCCAGCCCGUGAAGAGCGAGUCGGCGGCACGACCUUCUGCACCAGCCACUCAUAUUCUGUGCCCAGGUCUGCAUGCACAACACAAUCUAAGAUUGAACUUGAUAUACACGCACCUUCACAAGCGUCACCGUUCCGAGGAGGAUCCAAACAGGUUCUAGGACAACCCUAUGGACGGAUCGCCUCCAAACGACCCACAAUAAAGAGUAAACAUAACCCAGAACACCUAGUUCGGCAACAAAGAACCGGCUACGGUACAAUCGAGGUCAAUGAAGUAAACUAUCCAAUCCUAUGCCACGACCAUGAAAUUAAACUUCCCCCAGUAAUCCGGCAGCCCCCCGGAAACCUUAAAAGACAAAGAACCUGAGGAGAUGGGCCUUCAAUGACAAGUGACGGGUGAUAGGAGUGACCUCGUCGUUGCAGGAUUUGCGCUUUCUCGUCCCGGAGUUGCGCUUUCUCGUCACGGAGUUGCGCUUCCUUGCCGCGCAGUAGCGCUUCCUUGCCCCACAGUAGCUUCCUCUCCUCAUCGCCAGGGCAUCUGUUGAUCUCCUCUUCCAAUCUUCCUAUCUUCUCUUCCACUAUUCUUAUCUGCUCGUGCACGCUUUGAAUCUGGUCGUUCAAGUCUCGUAUCUGGCCAUCCACGCUUCGUAUCUGCUCUUCCGAAUUUCCACCACCGUCAGCCAUUCUUCUCCACGACCCAAUUCAAUAAGCAACCAACGAGGCGAGCCCGAUCUGAGGAACACGACCCCCUAUACCCCCAGACGAUGAUUUCUCCACGCUACUCUCAGAGCACAAGUCGUCAUCACCGUUUCCACCAACUUCAAGACCCUUUGCACCAGCAUCCAUGUGCAGCAAACUUAUCUAUAUCAACGUCCAGAAUGUCCACCGGCAUAAAUGUCCAGCACCUCACGUCCCAAUCGUCAGAAAGAAGUCGCUGAGUUGAAGCAAAUGAGACGAAGUAGACCCUAACUCGAAACCUCGACGAGCACCCCGAUACCCAGAUCAAAACUGUCCAAUACCCACCUAAACCGAAUCCCAAACCACGUUCAAACUAUCACCUAGCCAAACCAGUCCUAAAGUAGGUACCGUAUCUUGGAACGCCCGUUAUUGCAUUGGUAAAAAGCUGGGCUCGAUUUUUACGUGUUGAGGUUACAGGGAGUCUGUGUUUUUGAAGUUUUGUGAGGAUCCAUUAUAAAAUACAACUCGGGAGAAGAAUGUGGAGGUGAUGUAUGCACAAAAGUAGUUGAUGUUGAAUUUUACACUAUAUCUAUAUGGUUAGAUUUGCUAUUGCUAUCACCAAUAUUUUAAUAAAAAUUUGAAACAUAAAAUAAAAAUUAUUUCUAAAUUUCCAUUACAAAUAAAGAAUAGGCCAACUUUGCAUGAAAUUUGUUUGAAUGGAGUUGAAAUGCAACAUUCUCAAUGUGGUGAUUAAUUGGAAUUUUCAUUCUGCAUAAAUAACAACUCGUUUUUACUUAUGAACUCACUUGUUGAAUCAAAUUGUCACAUACUUUUAUUCUCAUAGUCCUACUGAAUAUUUUUAUUUUUCAUUCCACUAAUGACAAAAGAUUGUGGUAAUUUUUUACUUUUAUUUUUACAUUAGUGUGAUGAAAUUUGUCUAUAUAGAUCACUUUGUAUGUUAGUAAUUGGUAGGUAUAUAUAUAUAUAUAUAUAUAUAUAUUUUUAAAUUGAUGGUAAAUUUUCUAAUUGUAAUGGUGCUAUUAUAAGCCAAAAUUAUCAAGAACAUGAAUCUCAAAGAAUUGAAAGAUCAAGACACUCUUGUAUCACUCAAACUGACUAGACAAUAACUCAAAGAUUGUAUAAUAUUAAAAUAGAAUAGCUAUCACCAAAAACAAGAAGAUUGGAAAGUCUUGAAAUAAGACUAAGGACUAGAAAGAAAUUGAUAAGAGUGAAGAAGGCUUCACUCUUGCCACUAUGUAUUCUAUCUAACUAAGAGCUACAUGACAACAUUAUAUAAGACCUUUGACAUGUGUUCAAAUUGCGAGACAUAUGUCUUAACUUCUAAGAGAAGUUUUCUAUAUGUGCACCACAUAGUUAGCUUGUUCCACAACCUACCAACAUAUGUCACAAUUGGCUAACUUGUUGACUAAGUUUCUAACCUACAAACGCGUAUAAAAUUAAAGCCGCAUCUUUGAAGCUUUUCUAGAAGAUUUUAUGAAAUUAAUCUAUUUUUAUCUACUUCUAUUUAAUUACAUAGGUAAUUAUUGGAAUAAAUAUAUAGAUAUAUAUUUAUAUAUAUAUAUAUAGAUAUAUAUUUAUAUAUCCAUGAUAAUAUCUUUCUUCUAAGGAUAAAUUCCAUAAAGAGUUGUCACCAUAGAUUAAAAAAUUUUAAGUUGUAGAAAAUCAUGUUUGGUAGAUAGUUUGAUCUUUGUUGUUUUUGAAGAUUGUUGAUAGGUCAUCUCAACUAUUGAUAAUAUUUCAAACUAGCGUGAAAAGACUACCUUGUUAUUUGAUCAUUGUCAAGGCCUUCAUAAAUUCUUUCAAAAAAAAAACAUUUGAAAUAUUGUUAUGAGACUUUCCUAUCUCUAAUAUAAUCACCAAACAUUGGAAGUCACUUCCAAGGUCAUGAUACCAAACACAUUGUAUCUUACCAUCUAUUCAAAGAAAAACAACUCAUUCUUUAGGAUCUUCAAUUUGAUUGCGUCAUCUUAAAAGUUGUACCAAUUGUAAUAUCUAAUCUAGUAAGUGAAUAAAUAAUAGUUCUUGAAUUGAAUUUGCUUGUUGUUGAUUCUCUAUCUCCUUAGUGCCACAAUUAUAAAAAAUUAGAAACAAAGAUAAAAGUUAGAAUGCUAUCUUUUUUAAAUCUUGUUUCUUUUAUAAUAUUUUUUUUUAUCUUCUAUUUUGAUCUUGAUUAAUGUCAUUAAUAAAAAGCAUCAAUCCCUUUUCUUAUAUUUGCAAGAUUUUUGUUGACUUCUAUGUACAUUUAUUAAUAUUAUAUCUAUACCAAUGAAUAAGAUAUUUUAAAUUAUUUUGCUACUACCUUGAAUCUAAGACUUCUUCCAUUUCAAGUUCUUCAUUAUUAUCCACUUCUAUAGGAAGAGGUGGCAUUUAUCUUUUUUUUUGAAAUAUUCACUAUUUCAUAUUAUUUAGAAAGAAAUAUGUAGAAUAUGGGAUGAAAUCUCAUAGACUUUGGUAGAUAUAACCAAUAAGCAACAUGAUUGGUUCUUUUACAAAUAGGAAAUGGUCUAAACUUAAGGUAAUCCAACUAGUUAGAAGAAUGUCUAGUCUUAAUAUUGUGAUGAAGCAAUCAUAUCUUAUUAAUAACAUAGAAUUGAAGUUGUUCUUUGUGAUAGGCAUCCACAUUGGUCCUUUAUUAUUUAUGAGCUUUUUAUGGUUGUAGCUUCAUUAUUAUAUGUAGCUCAGAUAAAUGAUUCAUCAAAUCUUUUGUUGCGGGAUUAUUAACUUUUGAGAAGUCAAAAACAUCAAAUUAUAGAUGAUAACCAUAAUUAAUAAAAGAAAAGUAUUUAUUGUAUAGAAGAAUGUAUUAUGUUGUUAUAAAAGAAAUUUACCAAUGUCAAAAGAAUUGUCUAAUCAUCUUGUUGGUAGUUGAUAGUAUAUCUUAAACAUAGUUCUAAAACGUCUUUAAUGUAUUCCAUUUGUCUAUAAAUUUGAAAAUAAAAGAUUGAAAUAACUUCAUGUCUAUUUCUAAAAUCUUAAAAAGAGGUUUCCAAAAUCUUGAUAUAAAUUGAGUCUUUCUAACUAAUAUAAUAUCUUUGAGAUCUCCUCAAAAGUAUUAAAUUUUAUCAAGAAAAAUAAUUUUAUUUCUUUACUUGUGCUAGAUUUUCUUAUUUGGUAUAAAAUACACCAGCUUGAUCAAAUGAUCUACUAUCUCAAAUGUGGAAUCAUAUAAAUAUCAGACAAGGGAUAAAAUGUAUAGAAAAAAAAGACCAUGGUUGUUUUGAAAUGUGUAAUGGCUGAAGAAGUCGAUAAGAAUGAUGACAAGAGAUGUUUGAUCUUGAACAAAUGUCGCAUGAUUGUUCAAAGUCUUUGAAUACCUCCUACAUUUGAAGCUACCAAAAAUCUUUAGAUAUUUGGUCCAAAGUUUUGUUCUAUCUAAAAUAAAAAUAUGUUCUAAUGGACUUAGUGACAAUUCAAAAUAUGUACUGACAUGAAGUACUUGAGGUUCUUAUGAUUUGUAUAUAUGAUAAUUGAACUAGAAGCACUUUUUAAAUAAUGAAGCUAUUCUUAAAAUGAUUCCUUGAUUGCAAGAAGUACUUUUUUGUAGAUCUUAUAGUUAAUCUCAACUGUUGAAAAUUUCUUGAAAUGAAAAGCUUCCAAGUAGAGCUUGUCAUCUCUUCCUAUUUGUGACAAAAUAACACCUAUAGCAAAAUCUAAUGCAUUUAUUUUUAUAAGAAAUACCUUGAAAUAAUCAAUGUGAUAUAAGAUUGAUACAAAAAUAAAUGUUGUUUUCAAGACCCUAAAACUGGUACACAUUGAUAGUUCCUUGAGAUUUGAUUGCAUCACCUUCAAGCUUGCAGUGGCUUAGUCUUCCGAGGAAUGCUCAAACUUCUAAUGAUCCAAUGGAGAUCUUUGGUACAUCAAUGGAGUGCAAAGAAGCUUUCUAGGCAUUUAUAAGUUAAAGUCUUGUUGGUGUGUUUAGCAAGUGCCGAAUGAAGAUUCACCAUUACAAAUACAAGGUUAUCUGUAUCCAUUGUGUCACUUCUCCAAAAUAGAUCUAUAUAUUUUCUAAUUGGAUUUUUAACUUCAUUGUUACUCGAAAAGGCUGGAACUUCUUCCUUUCGUUUAGGAUUUAGGAAUUUUGUUGAAUCGUCUACUUAUUAUGAUCAAAUCCAUUUAAAAUUAGCUCUUAGUUUGUUGAGUUGCUUAGAUUACCUUGGAAAAGAGUUUGAUGUAUGAGUACUUGCAACUGUUGAUAAUGCAGUUAUUGAUGUCAUGUUUCAUGUUGCAGAGUAGAGAGCUUGAGUAUAAUACAAAGAGAGAGCCUUUAGUACUAGAGAUGUUCUCUAUUCUACAUUUUUUGAUCAAAAUAUUCCUCGAUAAAUUGGGACUUCAAUAUAAAGAUUCAAAUAUCUGAUAAAGUUAUGUAAUCUUUUGUAUUUAAAUUUAUAGCAGCAAUAACAAACAAUGGUUGGUAUAGAUAUCUACCUGAUUUAGUAGAAGUCCACUUUUCAAACUAACAUCUAUGUAAUACUUAAGUGAUACUCUUUGAAUACUUUGUUGAUACCUAGCCUAUUAUAAACUAGUGAAGGUUGCCUCUAUUGACAAUUACUGAUAAUCAUAAUGUUAUCUGACUCGAUCAGUUGUUUUUUAUAAAAAUCAUCUAAUUUUAGGAAACACUAUGCAGUGAGAUUCAAAGAUGGAGUGACUAACUAGCCAUUGAAGAAAAACUUGGGAAUUUACAUAUAAAAUGCAUUAGUAUAAUGAAUCUCAUUCCAUGAAACGUAGCUCUCAAGUGUCACACAUGUUGAUUGCUCUUAGUGGCAUGAUCUAAUGUUGUCACAUAUAAAGGUUGAGUUGUAGUUGUAGGAUCCUCUAGAAGUAGAACAUGCCUAUAGAGUGUUGGUAAACUUUGCCAAAAAAAUAUCAUUAUGAAGUUGCCUCUAGAUAAUUUGAUUUAUGAGAGUAUUGUAUCAAACUUAUUAUAGUUCACCUAGUUGGUAAAGGACUAAAUGUUGGCAUUAUAGUUAUCCAUGAAGAAGAUCUUCAUGCCAUCGCUACCAAAGCUUAUUCGUAGGUCCUUAUAUACCUAUUGCAAAGCAUCACCAUAAGUGCGAUUGAUGGCAUUGAUGUCAUCCUCGCACAAGUGCGUGUCCUUAGUCUAGUUGAAAAAUUAUAUCAAAUAUACCAAGUUACAACUUUUUGGCAAUAUGUUGCCAAUGAAGAAGAGCUGUGCACCAAAAUCAUGAAGCGUCUAAAAAAGUAGGUCAUUAAUUACAUCCACAACACAAAUAUCAAAUAUAAUCUCAAAUAGACACAAGAGAUAGGAUUUGACUUACGGUGAUGGGCGCCUUGAUUACAACAACAACAGCUGAAACAAAUGAGGCAAUAACUACCAGCCACGGCAUGUUCAGCACAUUUGUGAUGACAAGCAAGUCAAUGCCUCCAAUUUCAAGAAUAUGAUAUAUACCAUUGCUGUACGUAUUCUACAGUAGUUGAUACGGACCUUUUGCUGCACAUAUAAAUUCUAUCCAAAUCAACCUAGACUUUUCAAUACUAGAGAUAUUUUCUAAGUACAAUUCAAGUUUCUUGAUACCUUCAUCUGUACUCUAACAAUAAACUCUAUUUUACAGAUGUAGCAUAGAUUUAUCACAUGGGUAUAGAGAAUAUCACAAAUCUAUUGAAAAGAGCUCAUUUGGCUUUAAGAAAAUUACCAAUUAUUUGAAAAGAAUCUUCCAUGAAUACAUGCUUCAAAAACAUUGCUUCAUUAUUGGGAUUCUAUGAUAGUUAUUCAUUAUUUAGAUAGUUUGUUGUAAACAUUGGCAGUCUCUAAACAUGAAGAUGUAGAAUAUUUCAAAUCCAUUUUAAAUCUCAAAUUCAAGCAUAAACUUGCCUAUGAUGAAUAUUAAUCCUCAUGAAUGGAGAUGGUUAUCCAAUGCUUAUAGUGUGGGAGAUAAAACCUUGUAUUGAGUGCCUUACUUUUGAAAUUGAGAAAAUUAUCAACGUAUAAGUUGAGGUAGAUCGGUGUCAUGAUUGUGGUGGCCUUUGCAAUCACAUGAGCAUAGGCAAAGUUGGCACUAUGCAUAUCUAGAAUGCUUUAGGGCACUUGAAUUUCUUACUUGCCGUGCUUGCAAUUGGCACCAUGAGCAUCAAAUUUAGCAAUAGUACCAAUUCAACCAUUGCCAAAGCCAUCUUCACUAUAAAAUUCAUGUCGCUAUUAAUGAAUAAGAUUAAUAGUAUAUACACUACAAAUCAUGCCUCUGUCGAUGAAAUUGAGAAUGCUAAUCAGACCUCUAUCAAAGAUUCAAAAGCAACUUUUGCUUCUUGAUUCCAUUGGAGUUCGUAUUUACAAGUCAAACGUAUAAGUGGAGCUUCAACUCGAGAGUAGUCUUUGAUGAAGAUCCGAUAGUAGUUGGCAAAUCCUUAAAAACAUUGGACAUCUCUUACCAUUUUUGGGAUCGUCUAAUAUAUAAUAGUUUCAACUUUCUUAGGAUCCAUAAUAAGUCCACCAUUUGAAAUGAUGUAACCUAAGAAAUUGACUUGAGUAGUAUGGAAUACACACUUUUCUAUCUUGGCAUAGAGUCCUUCAUCUCUUAAUUUUUGUAAUACACGACAAACAUGAAGUUCAUGUUCUUCUGGAUUCUUAGAAUAGAUCAAGAUGUCAUCUAGAUAAUAGACCACAAAAUCGUCCAAAAAUUCUUGAAAAACAUCAUUUAUUAGAUAUUAAAAAGCUGCUGGUGCAUUUGUUAGUCCAAAAGGCAUGACGUUGUAUUCAAAAUGUCCAUACCGAGUUCGAAACAUAGUCUUCCAUUCAUUUCCUUCUUUGAUGCGUACUAGAUUGUAUGCUCCUCGGAGAUCUAUUUUUGUAUACAUCUUAGCUUGAUUCAGCUAAUCAAGAAGUCUAGAUAUUAAAAGUAGUGGAUACCUGUUCUUAAUAGUAAUCUUGUUGAGUCCUCGAUAAUCAACACACAUCUGCAAUGAUCUAUCUUUUUUCUUCACAAAUAGAAUUAGAGCUCUUGUGGGAGAUUUAGAAUGGCGUAUGAAAUUCUUGGCUAGAUUUUCUUCAAUAUACUCCUUGAGUUCAGUCAACUUAUUUUGUGAUAAACUGUAGAUUGGUCCGAAUGGCGGUUGUGCUCCUUCUUAAAGGUCAAUUGAGCAAUUAUAGAGACGAUGUUCCGGGAGUGUAUCUGCAUUCUUUUUUUUUAAUACAUCUUAAAAUUCUUGAUAUUGGCUUGAAAUGCCACUUGAAGACUUUCCACCAGUAGGAACAAGUGUGGCAUAGAUAAUAUAUGGUGAUUCUUUUAUAGCAGCAUGCAAGAAAGCUUUUGUACCUAUAAAUACGGAUUUAAUUGAACUGGACUUAUGACUCUCUACUUGAUUAAUCUCACUAUUAGUUAUACUUUUAGAGAAAGUAAGAAUUCGGAAAAUCCAAUCUAUUUGAGGGUUGUAUUUUUCUAACCACGAUAAAUCUAAAAUGAUUGGAUUAGAGAGAAAUCUAAUGAUAUUAAAUACUACAAAGCUAUUAUGACCAUUGAUUAUUACUUCUAUAAGAAGGAUUUCGUGAGUAAUAUCUCCAAAAGACAAUGAACGACCAUCUAUGACUUCUACAUGAACAGGUUUAGUUUUCUUUACUAAAGAUAUGCUAUGUCUUUUAGUAAAUUCUUCAUCUAAAAGACACGAUGAGGCUCCCGAAUCUAACAAGCCAGAGACUUUGUAAUGUUUAGGUCCUAAAAUAAUAUUUAAUGUAAAACAAGGAGAGGGCUCUGAAGAGAGAAUAGGACUCUUACUAGAUGUUGUGCAAGGUUCCAGCCGCAUGGUCCCUAUUGUAGUUGGACAAAUUCGUUUUCUGACAUAUUGUCUUCUUUUACAGCCAUACUCUUCAUUUUUUGAUUACGUCGUAUCUUUGGACAAUGUUGAGCAGUGUGCUUUGAUUCUCCACAAUAUAAACAUAAACUUUCUUCACGACGAUGAGUCUUUUCUCGCUCAGUAAGAGAUUUGAAACGUACUGCAUCAAUUUGCAUAUCCUCUACUUUCGAAUGUAUGUGAUGAAGAAGUAUUGGUGUUACCAUUGAAUUAUAGUAACAUUGAGGUCGAUUCUCAGAUCGGAAUUCAAAAAGAUGAUUGUCGCACUUCAUAACAAAGUCAAUUCCUUGACUCAAUGUUUGAAGAUCAGGUAAGUUGAGCAUUAAUUUUUUUACCUCAUAUUAUAAUCCGUAGAAAAAUUGGCUAAUAAGUGCAGCAUCAUCCCACUUGAUAUCAGUUGCAAGUUGUCAAAAUUAUAAAGCGUACAACGUUACUGAUUGAUUGUUUUUUCAUAAAAUACGAAUCUUAUUGGUUGCAAUACGAAUUGCAUCAUGUUCUCCAUACAUGGAUUGAAACUCCGCCAAAAAAGCCUCUAGAUUAUCUAAUAUUGGAUCUCAUCAUUCAAAAACAAAUAAAAACCACGAUAGUGCUGAACUUGAAAGAAGCGUACCUAUGAAUCUAACUUGCGAUCCUGGAGUUGGAUAGCUUUAGGAUUGAAGUUCAAUCACAAGUUGAACUUGAUUGAUAAAUCCUCGAAACUUAGAUCUGGUGCCAUCAAACUUCUCGAGUAGGGCAAUUCUUGGUUCUCUAACACUUGAAAGACGUUCCAUCAUAGGAGAAAAGACAUGAUUUAGUAGAGUUGUUGAAGUAGCUACAACCAUUUCUAUAUCUUCACUUCCUGCCAAUCUUAUUGCUCCUUGUGGUGGUAAAUUGAAUUGAUGCAUUGCAAGCAUUAAUUCUCUCAAUUGCUCUUGCAUUUGUGCCAUUGCACUCUUCAUUUCAACAAGUUCUGUUAUGAUAACACUUAGAAAAGAGAAGAUGACUAAUAUCGCUCAAGACAAAUAGAAGAGAGGACUUGAGAACAAAGAAAAUACUAAAGACAAUAUCAGUUUAAAAGAGGGUAAUCCGCAACUUCUAAUGUGCUAAUAUCUUAUCAAGAAAAAGAGGUAAUCCACUCUUAAUCAAGAUUAGACAAAGCUCUGAUAUUGUAGGUGUACUCUUGUCAAACAGUCAAGGACAAGAAUUCGACAAAAAAACAAUCCAGACAAGUGAGCCUUCACUCAAAGAAAGGUAACAAAAUAUAAAUAAAUUAGUAUGUAUAUUGCAAGAAAAACUAGAAUGGCUAUUGCCAAAAGACAAGAAAACUAGAGACCCUUGAAACUAGAUUAGAAGCAAGAAAGGACAAAAGUGAAGAAGGCUUCACUCUUAUCUCUAAAUAUACUAUCUAACUAGGGGCUACGUAGCGACAUUCUACAGGACAUCAAAUAUGUGUUGACUUUGUAGGACACAUGCCUUGACUUACAAGGCAAGUUUUUCUACGUGUGAGCCACAUAGUUAGCUUGAUCUUCAAGCUAACAACAUGUGUGGCACAUGGCCAACUUGUUCACGACAUUUCUAAUCCAAAAAGUCAAUUAAAGACACCUAUGAAGUCAAAGCAGCAUCUAUAAAGCUUCUAAGAAGCUUCCAUAUUAAAUAUUAUAGAAAUAACUUACUUUUACCUACCUGUAUAUGUAAUUAUUAGCUUAUAUGAGUAUGUCCGUGACAUGAGGUCACUCUAUUUCUUGCUGGAUUAGUGGCAUAACAAAAUGAUAACUAUUUUCAAUUGGAUUUGUCAAUGCUUGUGGUAUAGUUUGGUAUUAUAUAGCCAUAACAAAGGUUGCACAAAUAAUUAUCUCAUGGAUUGAUGCCGACAUGAUGCCAUGAUUAACAAUGUUUUUUUUUUUUUAUCAAUGUUUGAUAAAUAUCUACAAUAUUAGUAAGUUGGAUUAUAUGCUAUGGCUUGUCUUACAUGUCUACAUGUCGAGGAGCCAUAAUCAUUGUUGCAAUUUGAAGAUUGCUUCAUAAUCAAAAGCAUAAAAAAAAAAACUAUAUUGAUUAAGACUAGAAAUAUAUGAUGUAUUAAAUAUCUUAUGCUUAGUUAUUUAUUUAUAUAUAGAAAAGAUAAUAUAAGUAGUAUGAAUCACAUAAUUGACUCACUUGUGUAGUUAUUUCAAAAGUUAUAAAUCUUGUAAACUGGCUCUGGAGUUUAUAGAGUAUGAAAUUUGAAUAGUAUUUCAAAACUUGAUUAAUUUCAAUAAUGUAUAGUAUUGCUUGAAUGUACUUCAAGGCAAUGGAUUUAUAAAUAUAUAUAUAUAUAUAUAUAUAUAUAUAUAGAUAAAGACUAUGAACUUAUAUAUAAUACAAACUAAUAUUUCUUGAAUUUACUAUUUCUUUGAUAAAGUGAUGAUAUACUUCAAUGUGCUUUGUUCUUGCAUAGAAUAUAAGGUCCUUAGCUAACUUCAUUAGUGAUUGAUUGUUCCAAACUAGCAUAAAAUUAUCUUGAAUUUUUUACAUAAGUUUUUUGUUGUUGCUAUUGUUAAGUGAGAGCAUCAACAAUAAAGAUUGUAUGACUCCUAUUCUAAUAGGUAAUCUUCUUAACCAAAUGGCUUUUGGAAUUCUAAUAGAUAGACUUACAUAUUCAAAUUCAAUUGAAGAUUUUACUAUUGUUUGGUGUUUUUUAUUUUUUUAAGUAAUUACUAUUCUAACAAUAAUAAAAUAUUAACAUCCUAUAGAUCUUUGUAUUUUGAGGUAUAAUCAACAUCAAUGUAAAUUUAUACAUAGCUAUUUUGAUUUAUAGUAAAGUUCAAAAUCAAAAGUUCCUUUGAUGUAUCUUACUACAUGUUUAGGAUUUAGGAUUUAAGCUUAUAUGUUUGUUCUCAAAACAUUGGCAUAUUUUUUUUGAAAUUUUGAAUUAAUCUACUUCCUCUAUUUUCAAGAGUUGUGAUUUCAAUGUUGGAAUUAACUUUACUUAUGCUUCUUUCAUUUGAUAGAUAUAAAUACUUAAGAUUCAAAGUUUAGGAUUUGAAGUUUAGAAUUUAGGAUUAUAAGGGUGUCUUUGUUCUUGGGCAUCAAUAUUUUUAGAUUUUGACUUGACUUACCUCUCCAUUUAUAAUAUCUAGGAUUUCAAUGGUGUAAUUAUUGUCAUAGGUAUACAUACAUAUUCUAUUAAAUACCUAUAUGAUAAGAUAGAAAUAAGUAAAAGUAAAUAAAAAUAAAUUAAUUUCAUAAUACCUUUUAGAGAAGCUUUUUAGAAGCUUCAUAGACAUUGCUUUGACUUUACAUGUAUUUGUAGUUGAUUGAUAGGUUAGAAACUUAAACAACAAGUUAACCGCAUAUUGAUAGCUUGCAAAAUAAGCUAAGUAUGUGACAUGCAUAUAAAAAACUUGCUUUGCAAGUUAAGAUGCAUGUCUUACAAAGUCAACAUAUUUUAGAGGUGUUAUGGGACAUUGCUACAUAGUUCCUAGUUAAAAGUAUAUAUAGAGGUAAGAAUAAAGCCUUCUUUACUCUUAUCAAUGCCCUUUUAGUCUUUAGUCUUGUUUCAAGACUUUCUAGUCUUUUUGUUUUUGGCAAUAGUCAUUCUAAUUGAAUAUUAUAUCAUCUUUGAGUGACUUUCUAAUUCUUUUUAGUGACAUAAGAGUGUAUUGAGGAUUUCUUUCUUCAAGAUUCAUAUCUUUGACAAAUAAUUUCUUCCACAUGUUCAUAGUUUGGAAAAUAUAUCUACUUUGAUUUGGACUUUAAGAUUUAGAUUUUUGUCAUACAAGGAUUUUUGAAAUUUUUGAAAAAUCUAUUAGAGUCAAUUGGAGGUCGUCUAUUCUAAAUAUGUACUUGAAGUUUUUUAAAAGUGUAUAUAUUUGUAGAUAUUAAGUAUUUGACCAUUUUGACUAGUGAGUUGAUUUUACAUAUGAAUAAAUAUUUUUAAAUUUUGAUUUGACCUGUCUUCUUAUUUUAAGGGUCUAAAAAUCUAAUGAUGGACUUGAAAUCCUAUACAUAUUUUUUAAUUUUGAAAUAUAAGGCAUUUGACUUGAUGUAAUUUUAAGUCCAUCUUUUUUGUACUUUGUCUUUUGAAAGUUUUGAUUUGACCUACCUCUCUAUUUAUUACGCUUUUGAUUCUAAUGAUAUAUUUAAUAUCUUUAACAAGUUUGUAAUUUAAGAAAUAUGAUGUUUUUAAAAUAAAAUAAAAAAAUUCCUUUAAUUAAUAUAUGAAAAAAAAUUAAAAAUAUAUAAUAAAUAUAUAGAAGCUUUUGGAUACUACAAUAAUAUAUUGAAUAGAAUAUGUAAAUAUAUGUCAUUUUUUUUACAAGAUAUUAUAUUUAUAUUAAUUUCUAAAUACAUAAUACAUAUAUAUAUAUAUAUAUAUAUAUAUAUAUAUAUGUAUUUUAAAAUUAUAUUAUCUAUGUUUUAAGGAUUUACAGUUUAGAAUAUUAGGAUUUAAGAUUUAAGAUUAAAUGAAUAUUUUCUAAAAAUGAAUACAUUUUUUUAGAGAUUUUGAAUUGAGUUACUUUUCCAUUUUCAAGGGUUGUAGUUCCAAUGGUGCAAUUAACUUUACUUAUAGUUCUUUAUUUGGUAGAUAUAGGUUCUUCAACCUUUAAAGAUAGAAGUGAUUUUUGAAGAUAGAUUUGACUUUUUUUUAUUGAUGAUGAACUUCAACAUUUUGAAGUUACCUACCUUCAUAUUUUAAAAUAUCAUGAAUCUAAUAGUAUACUUAGUUUUUCCAAAAAGUAUAUGAUUUGGAUAAUAUGGAGGUUUUGAAAAUAAAAUUUAGAAUUGAUAAUUUCUUAUAUUUUUAGAAUUUUGAAAUUUGAAGGUGACUUAUUCUUUCAUUUUUGAUAGUGGUGAUUUCAAUGGUAUAAAAACAUUUACUUAUGCUAUUUCCAUUUGAAAGAUAUGAAGAAUUUGACUUUUUAGGAUUUAAGAUUGACUAUGGAAUCUUAGGAUUUAGGAUUUAGGAUUUAUAAUAAUAAAAUUAUAAUUUAACAUAUACUUGAUAUAUACCAUUGUAAUUGCCUUGAAAAAUUAAUUACAAUAGAGUCAAGGUUUAGGAGUUUAGGAUUUUUAGGAUUUAGGAUUUAGGAUUUAGGAUUAAAAAUGUAUGCCCAUUUAUAAGGUUUAGGAUUUAGGAUUACAAGGAUGUACCUGGAUUUACUAACCUCCUUAUUCUUGGAUUUUGAGUUGACAUAUUACUCUAUUUUUGAGAUCUACAAUUCCAAUAGUACAAACAACUUGCUCUACCAAUUUUUAAUUUAUAAGAUAUAAAGAGGUUUGACUUUGCCUCUAAGAUAGUUGACUUUUGUGAUAUAAGGUGCAUUUGAAAGUUUUGAAAAAGACAUUGGAUCGAUUUGAGGGCUAAUAAUUAUAAACAUGUGAAUAAAUUAUUGUGGAUGUGUAUAAAUAGGAUAAUAUUAGAUAUUUAGUAUUCAAGGUAUUUGAGUUGAUGUAUGCAAUUGAAGAAGAAUAUUUCAGGAUUUAAUUUGACCUGCUUCUUUAUUUAUAGGAUCUACCUAUUAUGUAGUGUGAAUAACUUGCUCUAUAGUUUCUCAAUAUUAAGAUAUAAGGCGUUGCAUUUGAUAUGGAUUUGAGGAUUGACUUUUUGUGUGUUUUCUAUUUUGGAGAUUUUAAACGGAUGUGCCUCUGUGUUUGUCAUGCUUUUGAUUCCAACGACAUAUUUGAAACCUUCAUUGGAUCUACGGUUGAAGAGACACAAGGUUAUAAAAAGUAUGAGUGUCAAAUGGGAUUUAAGGGGAUUCAAGUUCUACAAGCAUGAGUAUGAACGAGAUUUAGGAUUGAAGGUCUACAAGUGCUAAUGUAAAUGGGAUUUAAAGGAGUUUAAGGUCUAUAAGAACGAGUGUAAAUCAAAUUUAAGAAAAUUUAAGGUCUAUAAAUACAAAUGUGAAUGGAGUUUAAGGAGAUUUAAGGUCUACAAAUGUGAGUAUAAAUGGGAUUUAAGUAGAUUCAAGGUCUACAAGUAUAAGUGUGAAUGGAAUUUUAGAGAUUUAGGGUAUAUUAAAUCAAGUGUGAAUGGAAUUUAAGGAAUUGAGGGUCUAUCAAUGUGAGCAUGAAUAGGAUUUAAAGAAUUAAGGGUCCAUAAAUACAAGAGUGAACGAGGUGCAGUAUAGAAUUGAAGAUGUAUUAUUACAAGUAUAAAUGGAGUGUGGUUAAGAUUGAGGUUCUAUUAGUGCAAGUAUAAAUGGGAUACAGUUCAAGAUCUACAAAUGUGAGUGUGAACAUGAUUUAAUGGAUUGAGGGUUUACAAGUGUGGAAGUAAAUAGGAUAUAAGAAAUUUAGGGCCUACUAGUACAAGUCAAAUCAAGGUUUAAGGUUGAGAGUCUACCAACAUGAGUGUGAAUAAGGUUUAGGAUUGAAGAUCUACCAAUGCAAGUGUAAGAACUUUAGUAUCUACUAGUGGGAAUGUAAACAAGAUUUAGAGUUGAAGGUCUAUUGCCAUAGGUAUAAACGAGAUUUAAAGAGGUUUAAGGUCUACAAAUGCAAGUGUAAAUGGGCUUUAAGGAAUUUUUGGAUGUACAAGUAUGAAUGUGAAUCAAGCUUAGGGUCCAAAGUAUAUGACUAAAGUUUGGAAAUUACAAGUGUGACUAAGGGUUUAAGAUUUAAGAUCUAUAAGUACAAGUGUAAACGGACUUAAAGGAUUUAAGGCCCAAAAAUAAAAUCUA
rnacentral:lncRNA from 1 species